rnacentral:rRNA from 1 species
GACGAACGCUGGCGGCGUGCUUAACACAUGCAAGUCGAACGGUGAAGCUCCAGCUUGCUGGAGUGGAUCAGUGGCGAACGGGUGAGUAACACGUGAGCAACCUGCCCCAGACUCUGGAAUAAGCGCUGGAAACGGCGUCUAAUACUGGAUACGAGAUCAAGCCGCAUGGUUAUGGUCUGGAAAGUGUUUCGGUUUGGGAUGGGCUCGCGGCCUAUCAGCUUGUUGGUGAGGUAAUGGCUCACCAAGGCGACGACGGGUAGCCGGCCUGAGAGGGCGACCGGCCACACUGGGACUGAGACACGGCCCAGACUCCUACGGGAGGCAGCAGUGGGGAAUAUUGCACAAUGGGCGAAAGCCUGAUGCAGCGACGCCGCGUGAGGGAUGACGGCCUUCGGGUUGUAAACCUCUUUCAGCAGGGAAGAAGCGAAAGUGACGGUACCUGCAGAAGAAGCACCGGCUAACUACGUG